UAGCUACAUACGUGUGGCACACCUACUCUGCUCACCCUCAACACGUGUCUCGCCAACAGUCAAACAGAGCAGAGAAAGGGGCAGAGAGGAGCAGAGGCAGAGGAAGGAGAUGAGGGGAGAUCUGCCGGCCAUGGAUGGCAGUGGCGCCUCAACCACGACACCGUCAGGCUGCUCAAGGCCUUCAGCCGCACCGUCGAGCUGUGCAACUUCGGUAUCGGCCUCGUCGUCGGCUUCCUCCUCGUCACCUGCGCCUACUUGUCCAACACCAAAUUUGACUCCAUCCACAUCGCCCCGCUCAUUGGCCCUCGGAGAACCAGAUUACUUUGCCGCUGGGCACCGACGGCUCGAAGCGCCAAUUAGAUUUGGGCCUUGCGGGGCAGGACACAACAUUAUCCAUGGAGGGAGCAUGGGCAAGGUGGUGGACACGGACGGUGAGGAAGACAGAAUCAACCCCUCCUCGGCGUAAGAUGCUGGAGUCCAGGAGCCAGACGCCACCGUCGACGACGACCCCUACUACACUGGAGGU